UCCUAGUACGGCGAGUGAAGUGGGAAAAGCUCAACUUUGUAAUCUGGCAGCUUCGCUGUCCGAGUUGUAGUCUCGAGAAAUGUUUUCCGCGCUGGCAUGUGUAUGAGUCUGUUGGAAUACAGCGUCAUAGAGGGUGAGAACCCCGUUCAUGACACAUCUCCCAGUGCUUUGUGAUACAUUUUCGAUGAGUCGAGUUGUUUGGGAAUGCAGCUCAAAAUGGGUGGUAAAUUCCAUCUAAAGCUAAAUAUUGGCGAGAGACCGAUAGCAAACAAGUACCGUGAGGGAAAGAUGAAAAGCACUUUGGAAAGAGAGUUAAAAGUACGUGAAAUUGUUGAAAGGGAAACGCUUGAAGUCAGACGUGCGCAGUGCGAUUCAGCUCUAUUUCGGUAGAGUGUAUUUCGUGCUAUUGCAGGCCAGCAUCGGUUUUGCGAGCCGGAUAAAGGUUAGUAGAAGGUAGCAUCUUCGGAUGUGUUAUAGCUUCUAACUGAAUACGGAUUGCGAGACCGAGGGACGCAGCACGGCGCAAGCCAGAAGAUUCGUCUUCUUCGUGCUUAGGAUGCUGGUGAAAUGGCUUUAAACGACCCGUCUU
rnacentral:rRNA from 1 species